UACGAAGGGAGCUAGCGUUGUUCGGAAUCACUGGGCGUAAAGCGCACGUAGGCGGAUGUGUCAGUCAGGGGUGAAAUCCCGGAGCUCAACUUCGGAACUGCCUUUGAUACAGCACGUCUUGAGUCCGAUAGAGGUGGGUGGAAUUCCUAGUGUAGAGGUGAAAAUUCGUAGAUAUUAGGAAGAACACCGGUGGCGAAGGCGGCCCACUGGAUCGGUACUGACGCUGAGGUGCGAAAGCGUGGGGAGCAAACAGG
rnacentral:rRNA from 1 species